CGCUGCUGCCGCUGCCGCCGCUGCCUCUCAGCCGCAGGAAGCCCUGGGAGUUAAUAUUGCAGUCAUCAUAGGCAGAGCUCGCUGCUUUUGCAUGGAUGGAACCAGUUACAGGAGACAAGUCAACAGAAGACCAGUCAAAACUGAUGGAAGUUCUCUAGAGCCUGGUUUUGGCUGCUUGUGUAGUUUCACCCCCUGCCAUCUUUAAAAGCAUCACGGAAGGUAUUUCGGGGAAAAUCUGAGUAUCUAGAAGCCUCCCAUGUCAAGAUAAGAUGAACUGUGCCCUGAACAUGCCUACUCCCCUCCUUGGAGUAUAAAAAGGAUCUGGAGAAUUCAUCUGAGUUAGGCUCAUUCUUGAAACUGAGUGCUUCAACUAAAGCAGAAGCAUUUUCUUGUCAAGGGACUCCUGAAUAUAACAACUUGUGGGAGGAAUGAAGGACCACUGCAGAGCUAUGAGG